UACGUAGGGCGCAAGCGUUUAUCCGGAAUUAUUUGGGCGUAAAAGAGCUCGUAGGCGGUUUUGUCGCGUCUGCCGUGAAAGUCCGGGGCUCAACUCCGGAUCUGCGGUGGGUACGGGCAGACUAGAGUGAUGUAGGGGGAGACUGGAAUUCCUGGUGUAGCGGGUGAAAAUGCGCAGAUAUCAGGAGGAACACCGAUGGCGAAGGCAGGUCUCUGGGCAUUAACUGACGCUGAGGAGCGAAAAGCAUGGGGGAGCGAACAGG
rnacentral:rRNA from 1 species